UUCGGAGACGCCCUCCCGCGGGGUGGCCGCCCCCUCCUCCUGGCGCAAGCCCUUUCGGGUCUGUUCGGAAACACUCGUUUUCCAUCCGGCCACGUUCGGAACUCUGCGGCUGACCCCGGCGGACGUCUCGGGUCGUCCUCCGCACGGUGAUCUCAAACGGUUUAGAGUCUGGAGAGAAGCUAGGCGGAAUGUCCUCGCAGCCUUGCACCCCAGGAGGGCGUGGAUCCCCUCCAAGGGCGAGCCGUUUGGAGGGGAAGAGAUUUGCAUGGGAAAGCUCUCGGUUCCUUCCGCGGGCCGGAGCUGCUGCCCCUCCCCCGUCCUCCCCCUCCGGCCUGCCCGCUGCCGCACCCCAUGAACUCCCCAGAAGGUUAUUUUCUGUUGUCGCGGUCCUCUUUAGGGGCGGGAGCCCUGCCUGAGGUAUCCGCGGGUCUUCAGCCCUCGGCAGCAGGGGCUGGGCGCUUGGGGGGCCUCCGGAGACCCGGGCUCAGCAAAAGGAACGGCACGGCCCCUGUGGCCCCCACGAGUGCACCUGAUCUGGGACCGUGUCCGGGAGCUCCGCGAGGGCGGGGGCCUCGUCUGCUCCCUCCCGGCUCGUGGGCUUCGCCCCUAGGGAGUCCCGGCCGCCCAGACGCACUAGGAGAAGCCUGGGGGACUGCCCCGCUGCCCCCGGCACGGCACCCAAAUCUGGCGGUGGCGCGCAGAGUGUUGGGAGAGCCACCGCUUCCCAGGGGCGCACGGGCGGCCCCGGGUGACAGGCAAUGAGCGAGAGAAAUCUCAGCUCCCCAGAGCCCCCCCGUGUUUGCUCCACUAGAGCGCCCUGCCUGCUGACUGCGCGUCCCGGGGCUCUGGGUCCGGGAGCCUUGUCUGAUCCUUGUUUCUUGACACGCCACGGGGCCUGGGGCGCAGGGGGCCCCUGGAGCAGGCACUGAACGGAAAAGACGUCCGGGCUCCCGCAGCACCCCACGCUGCCUCCAUAAGGCACCCUGAAUUUUAAAUGUGUUCCAUCGCGCUCCUUGGUGUCCGUAAGGCCCCUCCCACCGUUAUCCGGGAGCCGGGCUGCCCCCAGCACAGGCCUCGGAGGGCCGACCUGCCAGAAUCCAAGGCCAGGGCACCCCCCAAGUCGGGCCCGUGUGCACCCCAGCCAGCUCAGGUGACCAGGCGGGCGCCGGGCUCACCUGGCGCCGUCCCCUGACCCCGCCCCGGCCGGGCCGCACCCCGGAACGCUCUCUGGGGGAGCCCGCGCGGCAGAGCAGGGCCAUGGCAGCGGCGCCAGCCGUGGGCGCCGCGCAGGGGCCCCCGCCGGGCGCCCCGUCCCCGCCGGCCGGCGCGCCCGGGCCUGCGUCCGGCCUGGGCCGCUGCCGGGUGGCGCUGCUGCUGGCCGUGGCGCUGGACGUGGCGGGCAUGGCGGCGCUGCUGACCGGCGUGUUCGCGCAGCUGCAGGUGCGCGGCCGCGACUUCGGCGACCUGCUCAUCUACUCGGGCGCGCUGCUCGUCUUCCUGAGCCUGCUCGGCUGGAUCCUCUGGUACACCGGCAACAUCGAGAUCUCGCGCCAGGAGCUCGAGCGCGACUACGGCCUGCGGCCCUCGGCUCUGGCCCGCCUGGCGCGCAAGCUCUCCCGCCGCUGGUCUGCGCCGGCCUCCUCCUCGGGCCCGCGCGGCGCGCCCGGCUCUCUAGGAACGCGCCGUGCCGCCCGCGCGCCCCCGCCGCCCGCCGCCGGCUCCCGCCGCGUGCGCCUGCAGCUCGCUACGCUCGAGGCCGGGCCCGGGGCGGCGGGCGCGGGCACCGAGUGAGCCCGAGCUUGUACCUCUGGACCCCGGUGAGGCAAAUACGCUGCAGCAGAUGGGGGCAUGGAGGGGUGGAGGAGCAAUUGAGCAGAUGGACCCACGGACCCACCUGUCAGGACUGGACUGCGGUGUGCAGUUACGCCCACCAUCAUCUGGGCCACCAGGAUGCCUACCUGUCCGCCCCAUCCUCCUCUGGAUAAAUGGCUCUGCCUCAUA